rnacentral:rRNA from 1 species
CACGCCGUAAACGAUGUCAACUAGCCGUCAGGCCCGCUUUAGGGUUUGGUGGUGGAGCUAACGUAUUAAGUUGACCGCCUGGGGAGUACGCUCGCAAGAGUAAAACUCAAAGGAAUUGACGGGGGCCCGCACAAGCGGUGGAGCAUGUGGUUUAAUUCGAUGCAACGCGAAGAACCUUACCUGGUCUUGACAUGCAGUGAACUUUGCAGAAAUGUAUUGGUGCCUUCGGGAACACUGACACAGGUGC